GACGGGGAGCACCACGAACGGGUGGAGCUUGUCGGUUUAAUUGGAUUCAACGCCGGAAAUCUUACCGGGACCGACAGCAAUAUGAAGGCCAGGCUGAAGACUUUGCCGGAUUAGCUGAGAGGUGGUGCAUGGCCGUCGUCAGUUCGUACUGUGAAGCAUCCUGUUAAGUCAGGCAACGAGCGAGACCCACGCCCACAGUUGCCAGCGUACUCUCCGGAGUGACGGGUACACUGUGGGACCGCCGCUGCUAAAGCGGAGGAAGGAAUGGGCAACGGUAGGUCAGUAUGCCCCGAAUAUCCCGGGCUACACGCGAGCUACAAUGGUUGGUACAAUGGGUAUCUACCCCGAAAGGGGACGGAAAUCUCCUAAAACCAAUCUUAGUUCGGAUUGAGGGCUGCAACUCGCCCUCAUGAAGCUGGAAUCCGUAGUAAUCGCCGUUUCAACAGAACGCGGUGAAUACGUCCCUGCUCCUU
rnacentral:rRNA from 1 species